GGUGAACGCUGGCGGCGUGCCUAAUACAUGCAAGUCGAGCGAACGGACGAGAAGCUUGCUUCUCUGAUGUUAGCGGCGGCCGGGUGAGUAACCCGUGGAUAACCUACCUAUAAGACUGGGAUAACUUCGGGAAACCGGAGCUAAUACCGGAUAAUAUUUUGAACCGCAUGGUUCAAAAGUGAAAGACGGUCUUGCUGUCACUUAUAGAUGGAUCCGCGCUGCAUUAGCUAGUUGGUAAGGUAACGGCUUACCAAGGCAACGAUGCAUAGCCGACCUGAGAGGGUGAUCGGCCACACUGGAACUGAGACACGGUCCAGACUCCUACGGGAGGCAGCAGUAGGGAAUCUUCCGCAAUGGGCGAAAGCCUGACGGAGCAACGCCGCGUGAGUGAUGAAGGUCUUCGGAUCGUAAAACUCUGUUAUUAGGGAAGAACAUAUGUGUAAGUAACUGUGCACAUCUUGACGGUACCUAAUCAGAAAGCCACGGCUAACUACGUG
rnacentral:rRNA from 1 species